UUUCUAGAAAACAUAGUUUUUAAAAGAAUUAAAACUAUUUCCUGAAUUAAAUACGAAUUUAAUACGGCCUUUCGGCCUUGGUAAGUUAGUAAGCCGCUGAACAAUGAAAUUGCAGGCUUUGCUUGCGCUGUGUGCCCACGGCAUUUGCGCCUGCGGAGACACAGUAGACACUGCAUAGACAGUUCGGGUUUAUGAACAGUAAAUAUUAGACUAGAAAAAGCGUUCAUAUUAAAUGAUUUUAACUUGUUGUUUUACUUGUUUUUAAUAAGAUUAUUUUUAAGCUUACUGGUCAUUGUUUUUAUCGCGAUAUUAUCGAAUAUCGUGAUAAUUUCCUCGACAAUAAUCGUGAGAUGAUUUUUUUAAUAUUGCCCAACCCUA